CCACGUGUCUGCGCGGUGAGAUCAUUAACUCUUCACCCUGGGCACAAGCGGCAUUCGAGUAAGGUGGGAAGCCAGCCGUCCGGUGCCAGAACGGGGCCAAGGAACUGAAGCGUGCCAGUGGGUGCUGUGCCUCAAGCUGCCAUGGCACUGGGGAAGCAGCCCUCCUGCUGCCCAGAGGAGAUGUCAAGUUACAGGCGUGGGCACCGGAAGAUCUGUGCAAUGAAGUGUGAUGUUGGGUCAUGCAGGGAGUCUGCUGCAGAGCUGAGAACUGAACUCGGCCCUCCUGAGUCCCACGCCCAGCCCCAAAGCAGCCUUCCCCUCUUCGGCAGCCCGUGUAUUAGCACAGCGCUGGCCCUUGCCCGUGCCGCUCAGCCAGGCCCAGGGUCGUUGGAGUCGGGGAGGACGUUGCAGUUGAUGGGCCAGAGGAUGCUGAGGAGGCUGAGGGCCUGCUGGCAGCGCUGCUCCGCCGUCAGGCACACGGAGCGGCAGGGCUGCAGGACGCCCCCGUCCGGCGUGCACUUGGGCACGAAGAGGCUGCAGAUCAGCAGGUGCAGGUGCUGGUAGCAGGGGAGCCCCAUCAGGACCUGCGGGGAGACGGGGAGGCAGUGAGCACCACAGGGCCUGGGGCACCGAUAUUUGAGGGGCUGGCUUCCCCAUUUAUGGGUGCAUUUCCCCUGGAUACCCUGUGCCCCCUCCUUCCACCCAAAGCAAAUUCUCCACCCAGCCUGCUUGCUUCCCACUGGGUUUGCUUCCCACCCAGCUGACAAAUCCCCGGCUGGGCAGUGCAGUAUCCCCCGCGGCCCCCUGUGCUGGGCUCACCUUGUAGUCUCGGAGCAUGGUGGCCGCCCCCUGCUGGUCUGGGAUGGUCAGCCAGAUGUUGGGGAAGGAGGUGGUGUUGUAGCUGAGGCCCAAGCACAUCUCCACUUGGAUCUGCUGGCAGGAGGACUCUGCAGGAGGAGGGCAGGUGAUACAGGUGGCAGCUGUAUCUAAGCUGGAGGGAUGCACUGGCUAGGACUUGCAAAGAACGGUUGCAGGGCCCAUGGGCUCCAAAAUCUGGAUCCCGGCCCGGCAGGUGCCUCAGAGUUGGCGGUCACAUCAGUGUGUAUGGACAGAUAUUCCCUGGGUGCAGGGCUGAGACCUACCAAACUCAUUCCUCUUGUGACCUGAACUGCCUGAGGGAAACAGGUGGAUAAGGUCCCCCCACCCCAUAAACCAAGUGUUGGUCAUUGCAGGAGCUGGGUUGAGCUAGGGGUUUCACUCACCAAAGGACGGGGGUGAGACACUUGUGCAGUUGAAUUCAUCACUCCCAUCCGGGCAGUCGUGCCAGCCAUCACACACCGACUCCCGUGCCUGGCACUCCCCGUUGCUGCAGGAGAACUCCGAGGGGCUGCACGUUUCUUGGCGGAUGAGCGAGAAAGAUGUCGGAAUGAGCAGAGCCCCCGAGGUCUGGGUAUGUCUGACGCCUCGCUGCCUGGGGCCCCGGGCCCCUGGAGAGUCCCAGAAGACAACAGCCACUCCAACUGGAUGGACACUGGGCACCUAGCAACUAACGACCAUGGGUGCCAGCAGGGGAACGAGGACAAAGGACGGAGGAGGGGCCGGGUGGGGUUGCUAAGUGGGGGGCUGCAGGAAUUGGUGGAGACAUUCCUGGACGGGGAUUAAAGAGGGGUCAGAGGGCUCUGAGCCGGAUGCAGAUGCUCUGUGCUGUAACUUUCUGUUCCCUGUGUUAACCAAGGGCUGCCGACGCUGUGUUCCAGACAUCUAAUAAACCUUGUUGCUGUUACA